UACGUAGGCAGCAAGCGUUGUUCGGAGUUACUGGGCGUAAAGGGUGCGUAGGCGGCUUCUUAAGUCUGGUGUGAAAUCUCCCGGCUCAACUGGGAGGGUGCGCCGGAUACUGAGGGGCUAGAGUGUGGGAGAGGAAAGUGGAAUUCCUGGUGUAGCGGUGAAAUGCGUAGAUAUCAGGAGGAACACCGGUGGUGUAAACGGCUUUCUGGACCAUAACUGACGCUGAGGCACGACAGCGUGGGUAGCAAACAGG
rnacentral:rRNA from 1 species